rnacentral:rRNA from 1 species
UACGGAGGGGGCUAGCGUUGUCCGGAAUUAUUGGGCGUAAAGAGCUCGUAGGCGGUGUGUCACGUCGGCCGUGAAAACCUGCAGCUUAACUGUGGGCGUGCGGUCGAUACGGGCAUCACUGGAGUUCGGCAGGGGAGACUGGAAUUCCUGGUGUAGCGGUGAAAUGCGCAGAUAUCAGGAGGAACACCAGUGGCGAAGGCGGCUGACUGGUCCGGUUCUGACGCUGAGGCGCGAAAGCGUGGGGAGCAAACGGG